UUUCCGUAGGUGAACCUGCGGAAGGAUCAUUAAUAAAUUUUUUUUUGAAAUAAAAAAAAAAUAAUAAUCAUCCUACCCUUUGUGAAUUUGUUUUGUUGAAUAAUUUUUUAAAAUUAUUUACUGUCUAUCCAAGUUGGAAAGUUGUAAAAGACUGAAGACUUGGAGCGGCAUAAAUAAAUUUAAAGACUUUUUUCUAAAAUUAAACUUUUUGUAUUCAUUUGUCUAAAAUAAUUUUUAUAAUAUAUAAAAACAACUUUUGACAAUGGAUCUCUUGGUUCUCGCAACGAUGAAGAACGCAGCAAAAUGCGAUAAGUAAUGUGAAUUGCAGAAUACGUGAAUCAUCGAAUCUUCGAACGCAUAUUGCACUUUUUAGUUUACAAAAAAGUAUGUCUGUUUGAGUAUCAGUAAAAUAUUCUCAUAAAAUUUUUUAAUUUUAUGGUUAUGAGUGUUUUACAACGAUAAACAAGUUGUUUCACUUUAAAUUGAAUUUUUUGAAGAAAUUCUUUAAUUCAAAUUAAAUUUGGAUAAAAUUUUCCCGUAAAAAGGAAUAACUAUACAAGUUUAAUAAGAAUUUAGUGAUUUCUUUUAUGAAAAGGAAAUUUAUUAAAUAACUUGAUCUCAAAUCAGAUAAGAUACCCGCUGAACUUAAGCAUAUCAAUAAGCGGAGGAAAAGAAACUAACAAGGAUUCCCUAGUAACGGCGAGUGAAGCGGAAGAGCUCAAAUUUGAAAUCUUAAAGGGUUUCCCUUUACGAAUUGUAGUUUAAAGAAGUGUUUCUGUUGAGGUUUUGGUAAAAGUUCUUUGGAAUAGGACAUCAUAGAGGGUGAGAAUCCCGUAUUUGACCUUUACUUUCAACUUUGUGAUACACUUUCAAAGAGUCGGAUUGUUUGGGAAUGCAGUCCAAAAUGGGUGGUAAAUUUCAUCUAAAGCUAAAUAUUGGCGAGAGACCGAUAGCGAACAAGUACCGUGAGGGAAAGAUGAAAAGAACUUUGAAAAGAGAGUUAAACAGUACGUGAAAUUGUCAAAAGGGAAGCGUUUGACACCAGUGUUGUUUUUCUGAAAAUCAAUUAAAGAACUGUUUAUGCUAAGUUGUUUAGACUUUAUCAGCUAACUGUUUAGUUUUGAGCUUUUCUUUAAUGCACUUUUCAGUUAACAAGUCAACAUCAAUUUCUUUUCCUGUAAAAAAGCUUGAGGAAGGUGGCUUGAGAUUCGUCUUAAGUGUUUAUAGCCUCUUGCCUAUGCAGUCGGAGAGAUUGAGGUCUGCAGCGUAGAUCCUUCGGGGCUAAAUGCAUUUGUGCUAAGUUAUAGCAUUUUAUAGACAACUUGUUGACUAUGAUUUGUCUUGUAGCUUACUCGCUUAUGUUAUUU
rnacentral:misc_RNA from 1 species